rnacentral:lncRNA from 1 species
CUAGGUUUUCAAGUUUGGGUGGGCUUAACCCAGAGGUGAGGUGGAGCUGUGUGCACCUGCAUGGUAGUACAAUCACCAUUAAAGGAACUCAGAUGGCAUGAUGAUGGAGAAAUCAUCAGUGUUACGACAUCUGUGGUGCUUCUCAGUCUAACAUCGAGCUGGUGGAGGAAAUGGAGGCUCUGAGAGAGGAUCUGGACUGUGCUGACCUGCAGCGUAUACGCCAGCUGGAAAACAGCCUAGAAAAGAUGAAAAUGAAGAUCACUCAAGCGAAAAAGAUCCAGAACGUCUAUCAAGACGUCCGUGAGCACCUGCAGCAGGAGGUCCGUGGUAUGUCCAAGGUCCUGGAGCAGAAAGAACAGGCAGUUACCAUCGGACAGGCAAAGCUGGAGAAAGCAAGAAAACAGUACCAGUCAGAAGCAGCUGCUGUAGACAGCACACUGGUCAGGAUGGUUCAGAUGGAACAUGAGACAAUGGCAAAGAAGAGAGAAAUGGAUAUUGAGCUAUGUGAACUGAGCGCAGAAGAAAAGGAGCUGAAAAGGCUGAUAGAAACACAUCUUAGCCCCACAGGCCAGAGUAGGCUCAAUGUGCAGGAAAUUGAAGAAUUGAAGUCAAUUCCUGCCACAGAUCAUCAGUGUUACGACAUCUGUGGUGCUUCUCAGUCUGACAUCGAGCUGGUGGAGGAAAUGGAGGCUCUGAGAGAGGAUCUGGACUGUGCUGACCUGCAGGUACGCAACUUAAUUCAAGUCACAUUCACAUGUAUUAUAAUGAAGUUGCUGUAUACCUAA